rnacentral:rRNA from 1 species
GAUGAACGCUGGCGGCGUGCCUAAUACAUGCAAGUCGAGCGAACAGAUGAGGAGCUUGCUCCUCUGACGUUAGCGGCGGACGGGUGAGUAACACGUGGAUAACCUACCUAUAAGACUGGGAUAACUUCGGGAAACCGGAGCUAAUACCGGAUAAUAUAUUGAACCGCAUGGUUCAAUAGUGAAAGACGGUUUUGCUGUAACUUAUAGAUGGAUCCGCGCCGCAUUAGCUAGUUGGUAAGGUAACGGCUUACCAAGGCAACGAUGCGUAGCCGACCUGAGAGGGUGAUCGGCCGCACUGGAACUGAGACACGGUCCAGACUCCUACGGGAGGCAGCAGUAGGGAAUCUUCCGCAAUGGGCGAAAGCCUGACGGAGCAACGCCGCGUGAGUGAUGAAGGUCUUCGGAUCGUAAAACUCUGUUAUUAGGGAAGAACAAAUGUGUAAGUAACUAUGCACGUCUUGACGGUACCUAAUCAGAAAGCCACGGCUAACUACGUG